CCUACGGGGGGCUGCAGUGGGGAAUAUUGCGCAAUGGGCGAAAGCCUGACGCAGCGACGCCGCGUGAGGGAUGAAGGUCUUCGGAUCGUAAACCUCUGUCAGCAGGGAAGAACGGUCCCUGUGCUAAUCAGCAGUGAAUUGACGGUACCUGCAAAGGAAGCACCGGCUAACGCCGGGCCAGAAGCCGCGGUAAUACGGAGGGGGCGAGCGUUAAUCGGAAUUGCUGGGCGUAAAGCGCUCGUAGGCGGUAUGUCAAGUCAAGGGUGAAAGCCCCGGGCUCAACGUGGGAACUGCCUUUGAAACUGGCAAACUGGAGUGUGUGAGAGGAUAGUGGAAUUCCAGGUGUAGGAGUGAAAUCCGUAGAUAUCUGGAGGAACACCAGUGGCGAAGGCGACUAUCUGGCACAUAACUGACGCUGAGGAGCGAAAGCGUGGGUAGCAAACAGGAUUAGAUACCCUGGUAGUC
rnacentral:rRNA from 1 species